GAGCGUAUUCAUAAAAUUACA
rnacentral:miRNA from 1 species